UAUUAUUUGAGCUGAUACUCCAUUUUCUUACAAGGUAAAUAAGAUACAACUGUAUCAUUCUGAACUUUUGCCUUUCAUGUAUAUUACAGAGAUGAUGUACAUAUGUUUUUCUUCUGUGAUCUCCUGGGGUCAUUAAUUAUGAAAGAAAUCUGAAUAAUUCUGAAUGAAUCCCCUGUGAUUAUUAAUUCUGAAAGAAAUCUGAAUGAUUGCCAGAAUGAGGAGGAAAAAGCAAUAAAAUUCUGACCAUUUGGGUCAUGGUUUUGGAGGAAGAUUGCUGGUGUUGUGUGCACUCGGCGCUCUAAUUAAUCUUAUUUGAUCUCUAGGUCUAAAUUAAAUUUAUCUCAAUUAGAUGUUAAACGAAUAAUUAAAUGUGUUGGCGUUCAUCCAGACUACAUAGAUCCGAUUGUAUUAGUGUUAGUUCUUUGAAGUCAAGUACUACUAUGGUCGAAGGGAAAUCGUUUUAAAGUGAUGGACAAAGUGAUACAAGACAGAAUACAAAUUAAUCAAUUUUAAUGUCUACAUGUUUUGUUUGCUCUUAUGUUCACUUCUGUCGAGUUACAACUUGACCUUGUGAAUUUGUUUACUUCAGAGAUGUGGUCCCAUCAAUGUUGGCUGUCGAAUUUGUGCUGCAGUCCAUGCCCACCAUGUCCGAGUCUUCGCCCCUUCGUCAUCCAACACAAACAGCAGAACAGAGUAGAAGUUGUGAUUUGCCAGGUUGGAGAACUGACGCAGCUUGCUGUCACGGAGUGCUCGCCCUUCUUCUGUGCCAUAAAGCCCCUCGGUCGAAACUUGCAAAUCAAAAUUGCCGACCCUGUCAAUCUCGCUGGAACGACGUCUAGCUCGUUGUGCUCCACUCACUGUAAGUACCUUGACCUCUGCUUAUUCUGAACCAUUUAUUUAUCUGUUUGGGAUGUAAUUUGUAAGUUUGCUUUCUUAGUAAAGAACUAAAUAAAGCUUUGCUGCUGAUGACUAUUUUCUUGGAUAAGAUUAUAUUCUUUAGAUUGUGAUCUGACCUAUUUGUGAUUUCUAUCUCAGCUAACGGCAUAUCUCAUAACUAAAGCUAUGAACAAGUGCUUCAGUUAUGCUGGUGGCAAUACAUUGCUUGAGGUGACCUCGUGUGCAAGAUUAUCCCCAUGGAGGGCGCUGGCACGGAGACAUUUGCUCACAUCAGUACUA
rnacentral:lncRNA from 1 species